rnacentral:rRNA from 1 species
CCCUUAGAUGUUCUGGGCCGCACGCGCGCUACACUGACGAAUGCAACGAGCUUAUAACCUUGGCCGAAAGGUCUGGGUAAUCUCCAAAUUUCGUCGUGAUGGGGAUAGAUUAUUGCAAUUAUUAAUCUUCAACGAGGAAUGCCUAGUAAGCGCAAGUCAUCAGCUUGCGUUGAUUACGUCCCUGCCCUUUGUACACACCGCCCGUCGCUCCUACCGAUUUCGAGUGGUCCGGUGAAUCUUUCGGACUGCGCGCGGCCUCGUGCCGUGUCGCGGAAAGUCAGGUAAACCUUAUCACUUAGAGGAAGGAGAAGUCGUAACA